rnacentral:tRNA from 1 species
GACUUAGAAAAUCCGUUGGCUUUAUUGACCGUGAGGGUUCAAGUCCCUCUACCCCC